UACGUAGGGGGCAAGCGUUGUCCGGAUUUAUUGGGCGUAAAGAGCGUGUAGGCGGCCAGGUAGGUCUGCUGUGAAAACUCGAGGCUCAACCUCGAGACGUCGGUUGAAACCGUUUGGCUAGAGUCCGGAAGAGGAGAGUGGAAUUCCCGGUGUAGCGGUGAAAUGCGCAGAUAUCGGGAAGAACACCCGUGGCGAAGGCGGCUCUCUGGGACGGUACUGACGCUGAGACGCGAAAGCGUGGGGAGCGAACAGG
rnacentral:rRNA from 1 species